UGGGGAAUUUUGGACAAUGGGGGAAACCCUGAUCCAGCCAUUCCGCGUGAGUGAAGAAGGCCUUCGGGUUGUAAAGCUCUUUUGUCCGGAACGAAACGGUUACGGCUAACACCUGUGACUACUGACGGUACCGGAAGAAUAAGCACCGGCUAACUACGUGCCAGCAGCCGCGGUAAUACGAAGGGGGCUAGCGUUGUUCGGAAUUACUGGGCGUAAAGCGCGCGCAGGCGGUCUUCCAAGUCAGUGGUGAAAGCCCGGAGCUCAACUCCGGAACUGCCAUUGAAACUGUUAGACUUGAGUAUGAGAGAGGUGAGUGGAAUUCCCAGUGUAGAGGUGAAAUUCGUAGAUAUUGGGAAGAACACCGGUGGCGAAGGCGGCUCACUGGCUCAUUACUGACGCUCAGGCGCGACAGCGUGGGGAUCAAAC
rnacentral:rRNA from 1 species